rnacentral:rRNA from 14 species
AAGUUUCAACAACGGAUCUCUUGGCUCUCGCAUCGAUGAAGAACGCAGCGAAAUGCGAUAAGUAAUGUGAAUUGCAGAAUUCAGUGAAUCAUCGAAUCUUUGAACGCACCUUGCGCUCCUUGGUAUUCCUUGGAGCAUGCCUGUUUGAGUAUCA